UACGAAGGGGGCGAGCGUUGCUCGGAAUCACUGGGCGUAAAGCGCACGUAGGCGGCUUUCUAAGUCAGGGGUGAAAUCCUGGAGCUCAACUCCAGAACUGCCUUUGAUACUGGAGAGCUUGAGUCCGGAAGAGGUGAGUGGAACUCCGAGUGUAGAGGUGAAAUUCGUAGAUAUUCGGAAGAACACCAGUGGCGAAGGCGGCUCACUGGUCCGGUACUGACGCUGAGGUGCGAAAGCGUGGGGAGCAAACAGG
rnacentral:rRNA from 1 species